AGAGAGAGACAUGCGCGCAUAUCAAUAAGCGGAGGAAAAGAAACUAACAAGGAUUCCCUUAGUAACGGCGAGUGAAGCGGGAAGAGCUCAAAUUUGAAAUCUUCAAGGUUUUACCUUGACGAAUUGUAGUUUAAAGAAGUGUUUUCUGCUGAAGUUUUGGUAAAAGUUCUUUGGAAUAGGACAUCAUAGAGGGUGAGAAUCCCGUAUUUGACCAUUAUUUUCAGCUUUGUGAUACACUUUCAAAGAGUCGGAUUGUUUGGGAAUGCAGUCCAAAAUGGGUGGUAAAUUUCAUCUAAAGCUAAAUAUUGGCGAGAGACCGAUAGCGGAACAAGUACCGCGAGGGAAAGAUGAAAAGAACUUUGAAAAGAGAGUUAAACAGUACGUGAAAUUGUCAAAAGGGAAGCGUUUGACACCAGUGUUGUUUUCUCGAAAAUCAAUUAAAAAUGGCUCGAUUUUGUAUUGCUUGAGACCUUAAAAGCUCACUGUACAUUUUUCGUGUCUUUUUUAAUGCACUUUUCGUUUAACAAGUCAACAUCAGUUUCUUUUGUUGUAAAAGGGUCAUUGGAAGGUGGCUUUCUUUUCGGAGAAAGUGUUUAUAGCCUUUGGCCUCUGCAAUCGGAAGAGACUGAGGUCUGCAGCGUAGACUCUUCGGGGUUAGAUACAUUUGUGCUAAGUUAUAGCUUUUUAUAGACAACUUGUUGACUAUAAUUAGUCUUGCUAGCUUACUCGCUUAUGCUAUUUUACCUACGCUUAGGAUGUUGAAGAUGUAGCACAUCAU
rnacentral:rRNA from 1 species